ACAGUUUUAUUUUAUACAAUUUGAAAUGAACAAAUUAUGUCGAAUAUUACGUUACAGUCAGAACUGGCUCUAUAAGAAGAUAACGUUACUUGAUUUCAUCUCGCCAUAGUUUUAAACACCGUAAAUAUAUCCUUUAUAAUUGAGUAAAUAAUAAAAAUGUUUUUGUUUUCGUUUUGCUGUUGUUAGUGUAACUUAACCAGACAGGAACAUGACGUCGUGAACAUAAAGUGAGACGACUUGGGACUUUCACUUAUCCAGAACAGAAAGCGGAACCGAAACUUACCAGGAUUGACAAGUCCGGCAUUGCUGCCCUGAGGGCCCGGAAACAAGAGUUGCUGACCAUCUCCAGUGUGCCUCUGGGAGAAUGUCCACCUUCACCUCCCCGCACUGCACCCCCCACCAUGAAGCCUCGAGAGGACCUGGAGAGAUUUUCGUUCUUGUUUAAAAGUGGUACAGCGGGUUCAGAGAUGGGAUGCGUGGUGUGAGUCGGUGUCACCUUGAAAUGAGACGCAGUUUGUGAAAAAUCAGAGAGAGAAA
rnacentral:lncRNA from 1 species